rnacentral:rRNA from 1 species
UACGGUUCAGUAACACGUGGAUAACCUACCCUCAGCACGGGGAUAAACCCGGGAAACUGGGUAUAAUACCCGAUAGUUCUGNNNAGCUGGAAUGCUAUCAGGACGAAAGCUCCGGCGACUGAGGAUGGGUCUGCGGCCUAUCAGGUAGUAGUGGGUGUAAUGUACCUACUAGCCUACGACGGGUACGGGUCGUGAGAGCGAGAGCCCGGAGAUGGAUUCUGAGACACGAAUCCAGGCCCUACGGGGUGCAGCAGGCGCGAAAACUUUACAAUGCUGGCAACAGCGAUAAGGGGACCUCGAGUGCCAGGAUACAAUCUUGGCUGUCGUAAUGCCUAAAAAGCAUUGCAUAGCAAGGGCCGGGCAAGACCGGUGCCAGCCGCCGCGGUAACACCGGCGGCUCGAGUGGUAACCGUUAUUAUUGGGUCUAAAGGGUCUGUAGCCGGCUGGAUAAGUCUCUUGAGAAAUCCGGCAGCUCAACUGUCGGGCUUUCAGGAGAUACUGUCCGGCUCGAGACCGGGAGAGGUGAGAGGUACUUCAGGGGUAGGGGUGAAAUCUUGUAAUCCUUGAAGGACCACCAGUGGCGAAGGCGUCUCACCAGAACGGAUCUGACGGCAAGGGACGAAAGCUAGGGGCACGAACCGGAUUAGAUACCCGGGUAGUCCUAGCCGUAAACGAUACUCGCUAGGUGUCGGCCACGGUGCGACCGUGGUCGGUGCCGUAGGGAAGCCGUGAAGCGAGCCACCUGGGAAGUA